AGGACGAACGCUGGCGGCGUGCUUAACACAUGCAAGUCGAGCGGAAAGGCCCUUCGGGGUACUCGAGCGGCGAACGGGUGAGUAACACGUGAGUAACCUGCCCCUAGCUCUGGGAUAGCUCCGGGAAACCGGGAUUAAUACCAGAUACGACCACUUUAGACAUCUGUCGUGGUGGAAAGGAUUCCGGCUAGGGAUGGGCUCGCGGCCUAUCAGCUUGUUGGUGGGUAACGGCCUACCAAGGCGACGACGGGUAGCCGG
rnacentral:rRNA from 1 species